UCCCGCCUGCCCUGUGACUAUAUGUUUAACGGCCGCGGUAUUUUGACCGUGCGAAGGUAGCGCAAUCACUUGUCUCUUAAAUGGAGACCUGUAUGAAUGGCAUCACGAGGGCUUAGCUGUCUCCCCUUUAAAGUCAAUGAAAUUGAUCUCCCCGUGCAGAAGCGGGGAUACGCUCGUAAGACGAGAAGACCCUAUGGAGCUUAAGAUAUAAAGCGACCCAUGUCAAACACCCCUCCUAAAGGAAUUGAACAAAAUGAGCCCCGCCGAAAUAUCUUCGGUUGGGGCGACCGCGGGGAAAGACAAAACCCCCACAUGGACUGGGGCCAACAUGGCCCUAAAACCUAGACCCACACGUCAAACAAACAGUAUUUCUGACCACCAAAGAGCCGGCAAUGCCGAUCAACGGACCGAGUUACCCUAGGGAUAACAGCGCAAUCCCCUCCCAGAGCCCUUAUCGACAAGGGGGUUUACGACCUCGAUGUUGGAUCAGGACAUCCUAAUGGUGCAGCCGCUAUUAAGGGUUCGUUUGUUCAACGAUUAAUA
rnacentral:rRNA from 1 species